CCCUUAGACGUUCUGGGCCGCACGCGCGCUACACUGACCAGUGCAACAAGCAUCCGUCCUUGGCCGACAGGCCCGGACAAUCUUUGAACGCUGGUCGUGAUGGGGAUAGACUUUUGCAAUUUUUGGUCUUCAACGAGGAAUUCCUAGUAAACGCAAGUCAUCAACUUGCAUUGAUUACGUCCCUGCCCUUUGUACACACCGCCCGUCGCACCUACCGAUUGAGCAAUCCGGUGAAUACUUCGGACCGGUUACUUGGUUGGUUCGCUAACCUUGUGACUGGAAAGUCGAGUGAACCUUAUUGCUUAGAGGAAGGAGAAGUCGUAACA
rnacentral:rRNA from 1 species